rfam:Triticum urartu cultivar G1812 contig564636, whole genome shotgun sequence.
CAAGUACUCCCUUCGUCCGGAAUUACUUGUCAUCAAAAUGGAUGUGUCUAGAACUAAAAUACAUCUAGAUACAUCCAUUUCAAUGACAAGUAUUUUCGGACAGAGGGAUUACAAG